AACGAACGCUGGCGGCAUGCCUAACACAUGCAAGUCGAACGAGAUCUUCGGGUCUAGUGGCGCACGGGUGCGUAACGCGUGGGAAUCUGCCCUUUGGUUCGGAAUAACAGUUGGAAACGACCGCUAAUACCGGAUGAUGACGAAAGUCCAAAGAUUUAUCGCCAGAGGAUGAGCCCGCGUAGGAUUAGCUAGUUGGUGUGGUAAAGGCGCACCAAGGCGACGAUCCUUAGCUGGUCUGAGAGGAUGAUCAGCCACACUGGGACUGAGACACGGCCCAGACUCCUACGGGAGGCAGCAGUGGGGAAUAUUGGACAAUGGGCGAAAGCCUGAUCCGGCAAUGCCGCGUGAGUGAUGAAGGCCUUAGGGUUGUAAAGCUCUUUUACCCGGGAUGAUAAUGACAGUACCGGGAGAAUAAGCUCCGGCUAACUCCGUGCCAGCAGCCGCAGUAA
rnacentral:rRNA from 1 species